AGAAACGUCUGAACUGUGCAUAGUGAAGUACAUAUUUGCUAUGACAGAUUGAUCAAAAUUUAAAUUUUCAAACUCAUUUAAAAACAAAAAAAGUCUUUUUCCUUAUAAUAUUCGAAUGAAAUGAUGUAAUGGUAAUUUUAGUACUUUAAACUUCAUACGAAAACAGGCGUUCGCAUAGAAGAGAUUUUCAUUUAUUCUGAAAGUUAGUUUUUACGUAAGCAAUUCAGCAAUUUCAAUCCUUUUUUUUAUUUUUCUGUAACGCACAUUUGGAGGAAAAGUGUACAAGAAAUGGGUUGAUGAAUAUCGCUAAAAGUUGUUGCUCACUCACUUCUACAUACAUACUUAUAUGUAUAGCCUAUUAACUGUAAUGAGUAAUAAAUAGAUUUAGUUGAGUUG